rnacentral:tRNA from 1 species
GUCUUUUUAGUACAACUUAGUAUAGGUGGCUUCCAACCACCUGGUUUUGGUUAGAGCCCAAAAAAAGAUA